rnacentral:lncRNA from 1 species
UGUGAAAUACCGCAAGGUCUUUGGAGAUGAGCCAGGAAAAUCCAUUCACGUGCGGAAAUUUGCCGGGCUACGCGCGUUGCUGCUGAUGCCUAGGGUUCGGAGUGAAAGGAGGGGAGAAAGCGAAGGGAUUCCUCCUCCUGCUCCCAGCUGCUGCGUUGAUGUGCUGGGGUGUAUCGAACAGCGGCAACAAAAAGCGCUUUCACUGCAAGGCAGACAUCAAUAGGAGCCCACGGAGAUGGAGGGGUGCUGCACAUAGGUGUUUGGCAUGUGAGACAGUCCAUAAGAAAGAAUCAAUUCGGAGGGCUGCUGCCUGACUGCAGUUUGAUCAUGGCGGGUGGGGGCGGGUGGAAUUCCUAAAACUCCAGCCGAGCAUGUUUAACUUAUUUUUCUUCAGUAAUUUGGAGUCACGGUCCCUCCCAGUUCUUCGCUGUCACCGGAAUUACUCCGUUUGGCUCUCCCAAGGCUCCUGUCAAGAAGGCCUAAGAAGUAGAAUGGCCUUCAUUUUCAGGAUAAGGAAGCUGAGGUUCAGGGUUUAAAAUGAUUUCUCUGAGGUCAGUGGCAAGUGGCAUAUGGAAAUAGAACGUGGGUCUCCUGCGUGUGUCUAUAGCUAGUGGCGUCCUCACUGCAUGGCCUGCAGAAAUCCCACCCAACACAGCCGGGCCGGUUUGGCCUUCCUACAUAUAAAGAUGGUGCGAUUGAAAUCAAACAGAGUGUACCAUGACGAAUAGAACCAUGAUAGGGUCUGGAAGACCCCAAGUAAACAGUUGGCACUUAGUUUAGACACUUUUUGCUGUCUAGCUGGCCUACUAGCUGAGUGCCUGACCUUCUGUAACUUACCAGGAAGAAGGGCUGUGCUUCCCAGGCAGGUCCCAGGGAAGUGCUUGCAAAGCAGAAGGAAAGCUCCAGACUGUUCUGCCCUAGCCUAUGAUAAAUAAUUUCUGAGCCCAUCUUGUCUGGGUUGUCUGCCUUUCUCGGGCUUGUUCACAAAUAAAUCUCUCUCCGACUGUGCGUUCUGGUGCAACUGAGAGCUCUGGGGCGAAUGGCUCUCCAGCUUUUCUGACAGCUCCUCUUCUCCCAGUCCUACCCCUGAACCCCCCACCUGUUAAAAGGCAUUGGCUCAUCUGUGAAUUUCCCUAACUUCCUCUUCAGAUUCUGAAACGUGAGAGUGAAAUUUCAGACUAACACCCAGCCACCCCAACAACUCCCUAGAGCUAGCCUUCUGUCCCAACUUCCCUGUGCCAUCCACAACUCAUACAUUAAACUCUGCAGAUUAGUGCAUCCUAAACAUAGAAAACAACGAAGCCAUUAGACCUCUUCCCAUUCUCUCGAAUAGCCUAAUGUGCCUCUGAAUAUAACACAACCUUGGAAAUGUAUUCUGCACCAGCAUCAUGCCAGGAUGGGGAAGAGGAAAGAAGUCAAG